rnacentral:rRNA from 1 species
UUAAGAAAUUAAGAGCGCAAGGUGAAUGCCUUGGCAAUUGGAGCCGAUGAAGGACGCGACGAACAGCGAUAUGCUUUGGGUAGCCGUAAGUAGGCAGUGAUCCAGAGAUUUCCGAAUGGGGGAACCCACUAGAUUGAAGAUCUAGUACCUGAUUUAUCAGGGGGGAUACGCAGGGAACUGAAACAUCUUAGUACCUGUAGGAACAGAAAGUAAAUAACGAUUCUCUGAGUAGCGGCGAGCGAAAAGGGACCAGCCCAGUUUUAACAUUGGAGUUACAAAAUUUUUAGAUAGUUGAAGUGUGUGGGAAAGCAUACCAUAGAAGGUGAGAGUCCUGUAAACGAAAUCUAGAGAUCUCCGUUAAACGAAGAGUACGGCGAGACACGAGUAAUCUUGUCGGAAUAUGCGAGGACCAUCUCGUAAGGCUAAAUACUACCAAUUGACCGAUAGUGAACCAGUACCGUGAGGGAAAGGUGAAAAGAACCGCGGGAGCGGAGUGAAAAGAUCCUGAAACCUUGUGCUUACAACAAGUUAGAGCCCGUUAAUGGGUGAUAGCGUGCCUUUUGUAGAAUGAACCGGCGAGUUAUGUUAACGUGCAAGGUUAAGCUUUGAGGAGCGGAGCCGUAGCGAAAGCGAGUUUUAACCGGCGUAUAAGUACGUUGACAUAGACCCGAAACUGGGUGAGCUAGCCAUGAGCAGGUUGAAGUUGGGGUAAGACCCAAUGGAGGACCGAACCAGGGUACGUUGAAAAGUGCUUGGAUGACUUGUGGCUAGAGGUGAAAUUCCAAUCGAACCCAGAGAUAGCUGGUUCUCAGCGAAAUAGCUUUCGGGCUAGCGUUAUGGUAAAGUGGUAUGCAGGUAGAGCACUGAAUGGUUGAUGGUCCCAUCCCGGGAUACUGAUAUCAAUCAAACUCCGAAUGGCAUACUUACAUACAUAGCAGUCAGACUACGGGUGAUAAGGUCCGUGGUCGAGAGGGAAACAGCCCAGACCGCCAGUUAAGGUCCCUAAAUUCAUGUUAAGUGGAAAAGGAUGUGGAGUUGUUUAGACAACUAGGAGGUUGGCUUAGAAGCAGCCAUCCUUUAAAGAGUGCGUAAUAGCUCACUAGUCGAAUGAUUCUGCGCCGAAGAUGUACCGGGGCUAAACAUGAUACCGAAAUUGCGGAUUCGUACUAGAUACGAAUGGUAGGUGAGCGUUCUUAUUGCGGUGAAGUCUGAUCGUAAGGACAGGUGGAGCGAUAAGAAGUGAGAAUGCCGGUGUGAGUAAUGAAAAGUAGGGUGAGAAUCCCUACCGUCAAAAGUCUAAGGUUUCCAGAGGAAGGUUCGUCCGCUCUGGGUUAGUCUGGGCCUAAGGUGAGGCUGAAAAGCGUAGCCGAUGGAUAACGGGUUGAUAUUCCCGUACCACCUUGUGAACUGAUGGAGUGACGGAGAAAGAUAGCAUGAGCACCUUAGUGGAUUGGUGUUUAAGCGUUUAGGCCGAGAUAUAGGAAAAUCCGUAUCUCGUUGAAGGCUGAGGCGUGACGACGAAAGUCAUGUGAAUCUAUGCUUCCAAGAAAAGCUUCUAGGGUUAAUUUAUAAGGUGCCAGUACCGUAAACCGACACAGGUAGACGAGGAGAGAAUCUAAAGACGCGCGAGAUAACUCUUGUUAAGGAACUCGGCAAAAUGACCCCGUAACUUCGGGAUAAGGGGAGCUCUACAAUGUAGAGCCGCAGAGAAUAGGCCCAAGCGACUGUUUAUCAAAAACACAGCUCUAUGCUAAAUCGUAAGAUGAUGUAUAUGGGGUGACGCCUGCCCAGUGCUGGAAGGUUAAGAGGAGUGCUUAGCUUCGGCGAAGGUGCGAAUUGAAGCCCCAGUGAACGGCGGCCGUAACUAUAACGGUCCUAAGGUAGCGAAAUUCCUUGUCGGGUAAGUUCCGACCCGCACGAAAGGCGUAACGAUUUGGGCACUGUCUCAACAAGAGACUCGAUGAAAUCUUAGUACCUGUGAAGAUGCAGGUUACCCGCGACAGGACGGAAAGACCCCGUGGAGCUUUACUGUAGCUUGAUAUUGAUACUUGUUAUGUGAUGUACAGAAUAGGUGGGAGACUUUGAAGCCGGAACGCUAGUUUCGGUGGAGUCACCUUUGGGAUACCACCCUUCGCAUAUUGAGUAUCUAACCCGCCGGUGUGUAGCCGGGGGGACAGUGUCUGGCAGACAGUUUGACUGGGGCGGUCGCCUCCUAAAGAGUAACGGAGGCGCACAAAGGUACACUCAGAAUGGUUGGAAAUCAUUCGAAGAGCGUAAAGGUAUAAGUGUGCUUGACUGCGAGACGUACAUGUCGAGCAGGUACGAAAGUAGGUCUUAGUGAACUGCCAAUUCCGAAUGGAAGGGUUGGCAAUCAACGGAUAAAAGUUACCCCGGGGAUAACAGGCUGAUUCCUCCCAAGAGUUCACAUCGACGGGGGAGUUUGGCACCUCGAUGUCGGCUCAUCACAUCCUGGAGCAGGAGCAUGUUCCAAGGGUUGGGCUGUUCGCCCAUUAAAGUGGUACGCGAGCUGGGUUCAGAACGUCGUGAGACAGUUCGGUCCCUAUCCGUCGUGGGCGUUGGGAAUUUGCGAGGAGCUGACCUUAGUACGAGAGGACCGGGUUGGACACACCACUGGUGCACCUGUUAGGCUGCCAGGCCUAUAGCAGGGUAGCUACGUGUGGACGGGAUAAACGCUGAAAGCAUCUAAGCGUGAAGCCCCCCUCAAGAUGAGAUUCCCCAUUCAAUUUGAAGUAAGAUCCCUUAUAGACUAUGAGGUUGAUAGGCCAGAUGUGUAAGUGCGGUGACGUAUGAAGCUGACUGGUACUAAUAGAUCGAGGACUUAACUUU